rnacentral:rRNA from 2 species
GACGAACGCUGGCGGCGUGCCUAAUACAUGCAAGUCGAGCGGACAGAUGGGAGCUUGCUCCCUGAUGUYAGCGGCGGACGGGUGAGUAACACGUGGGUAACCUGCCUGUAAGACUGGGAUAACUCCGGGAAACCGGGGCUAAUACCGGAUGCUUGAUUGAACCGCAUGGUUCAAUUAUAAAAGGUGGCUUUUAGCUACCACUUACAGAUGGACCCGCGGCGCAUUAGCUAGUUGGUGAGGUAACGGCUCACCAAGGCAACGAUGCGUAGCCGACCUGAGAGGGUGAUCGGCCACACUGGGACUGAGACACGGCCCAGACUCCUACGGGAGGCAGCAGUAGGGAAUCUUCCGCAAUGGACGAAAGUCUGACGGAGCAACGCCGCGUGAGUGAUGAAGGUUUUCGGAUCGUAAAACUCUGUUGUUAGGGAAGAACAAGUACCGUUCGAAUAGGGCGGUACCUUGACGGUACCUAACCAGAAAGCCACGGCUAACUACKUGC